rnacentral:rRNA from 1 species
GGGUGAGUAACACGUGAGCAACCUGCCCCUGGCUCUGGGAUAACUCCGGGAAACCGGAGCUAAUACCGGAUACGACCUUCCCCGGCAUCGGGUGGAGGUGGAAAGUUUUUCGGCUGGGGAUGGGCUCGCGGCUAUCAGCUUGUUGGUGGGGUAAUGGCCCACCAAGCCUUCGAUCAGUAACUGGUGUGAGAGCACGACCAGUCACACGGGCACUGAGACACGGGCCCGACUCCUACGGGAGGCAGCAGUAAGGAAUAUUGGUCAAUGGAGGCAACUCUGAACCAGCCAUGCCGCGUGAAGGAUGAAGGUCCUCUGGAUUGUAAACUUCUUUUAUGUGGGAAGAAAUGCAUUCUUUAUAGAGUGUUUGACGGUACCAUAGGAAUAAGCACCGGCUAACUCCGUGCCAGCAGCCGCGG